UACGAAGGGGGCUAGCGUUGUUCGGAUUUACUGGGCGUAAAGCGCACGUAGGCGGAUCUUUAAGUCAGAGGUGAAAUCCCAAGGCUCAACCUUGGAACUGCCUUUGAUACUGGGGAUCUUGAGUCCGGGAGAGGUGAGUGGAACUGCGAGUGUAGAGGUGAAAUUCGUAGAUAUUCGCAAGAACACCAGUGGCGAAGGCGGCUUUCUGGACAGUGACUGACGCUGAGACGCGAAAGCGUGGGGAGCAAACAGG
rnacentral:rRNA from 1 species